rnacentral:rRNA from 1 species
CUACGGGAGUCAGCAGUGGGGAAUAUUGGACAAUGGGCGAAAGCCUGAUCCAGCCAUGCCGCGUGUGUGAAGAAGGCCUUCGGGUUGUAAAGCACUUUCAGUGGGGAAGAAAGCCUUGGGGCUAAUACCCUCGAGGAAGGACAUCACCCACAGAAGAAGCACCGGCUAACUCCGUGCCAGCAGCCGCGGUAAUACGGAGGGUGCGAGCGUUAAUCGGAAUUACUGGGCGUAAAGCGCGCGUAGGCGGUCUGAUAAGCCGGUUGUGAAAGCCCCGGGCUCAACCUGGGAACGGCAUCCGGAACUGUCAGGCUAGAGUGCAGGAGAGGAAGGUAGAAUUCCCGGUGUAGCGGUGAAAUGCGUAGAGAUCGGGAGGAAUACCAGUGGCGAAGGCGGCCUUCUGGACUGACACUGACGCUGAGGUGCGAAAGCGUGGGUAGCAAACAGGAUUAGAUACCCGAGUAGUC